ensembl:lncRNA
UGUGAAUAUAAUUACAAUGACUGCUUGAUCCAAUCAUGCCCUGAUGGGUUUUCCUGUAAGGACAGCAUCAGCAAUGUCAGCUGUGUCCCUGUGAAGACAGACACAUCCUCUGUUCUACCAUCUCAGUCGUGUUGUGGAGAACCAUCAACACCAACCCAGAGUUACAACCCACUUUAGCACCUGUGGAGAACUUACAAAACGCUGAGCUGCCGACAGAUAUUAGUUUUUGGAGAUAUUCUGGGAAAUCCUUUUUGGAGUUUGAAGGCAUUGAAGUUGAUGGUGUGUUCAGUGUCACGGUGAGAUUCUGGACUGAAUCCAUGUACGGAACCCUGCUGUAUUCGGCCAGUGUCAAAAAAGGCAUCUUCUUCAUAAAAUUCUACAUUUCCAGUGGAACGCUUUGGUAUGACUUUUUGUGCAAUCAAAAGGAGGGAGUUCCGUGGAUCAAUAUAGCACAGCAGGUCGCUGAUGGAAAUGAGCAUGUGCUUUUGAGACAAUAUCUUUCUCCAUGUGCAGCCGAAGUCACUAUAACAGGCUUUGGAACUGUCAGAAGUAUUCCGAGCAAUUACACAUCAUUCGUGAGUUUACACAGAACUGACCAUCUCUUCAUUGGAAGACUUCCUCUUCGGUUUCCACCUUAUAAAGAAGCUGAGCCUUUCCACAGCUACACCAGAUGCAUUGAAAUAAUCUAAAUUAAUAAGCUCAGAAGAAUCUGUGUGGACCAUGCCAUUGCCAGGAACAAUGUUGACAACUGCAGGUAAUUGAACCUGAUUUUCUUUCAGGAAUCAAUACAAUUUUUGGGCCGUGUUUUGAAAUCUAAACUCAUUUUAAAUGAUUCAUAUCAGUGUUAAAAAAUAAAUUAUUCUAAGUUCUUCUGUCUUUAUUUAAA